ACUGACUGUUCACAUAAUACCUCUGAGAGGUGACCUAAGCAACCUGUACCUCAGAGAGGUGAUUGGCAGUCAACAGUGUGAAGUUUAAAACUUAACUUUUCCCGGCAUUUUCUCCCCUAAUGUGUUCUCAAAGAGAGAUAGCUUUAAGAAAUAAAGUAACGUGAAGCAACCCUUGUGACAAACAAACCUAGAUUUUUGAAACGUUCUGUUUUCAUGGAAGCGUAACUCUGAGAAACUUCUGGAAUAAAGCUAGACACGGAGCAGGAAGAGGACAUCAUUCACAGUUAACAGCUGGAAGGCAUGCCGUUCUCGGUCAAGGGUCCUUCCAGAGAGGAAAGGAAAAUGCUGAGACCAUCCUGAGGCUCCAUUCAGUACCUAAGUGAAAGAGUUGGGGCAAAGGGAAUGAUGAGACAGGAAGCCGGGUGCCACAGCCGCCCAUCCGUAUCUGCCAGCCCUACAGCUCCCGGCAUAAUUCAACUGUAAUUGAUAAUGUAAGGGCAGAUGGAGAGGACUGUCAGCCCCUCCCUUGCAUCUCUGGGGACGCUGCAGAAAUCAAAGCAGAUGGCCCAACUGCAUCUUCUUUAUGUGUUGCUGCGAGCUCCUCUGUCUGCAGGAUAAUGGAUCAUUACGGCCUGCUGUGUACAAACACCAAUAUGCUUUUAAAUCUGGUUCUCAAGCUUAUGAAAAAGCCCCGUAUUUCAUAUUAAUUUGCGAAGCUGCACUUCACAAGUUCAUGGUUUGUCACUCAACAAGCUUGAGCCCGGAUGGUCUUCAAUUGUCUGGAGCUGAAGGACUGUGUUCCAGCUCCCAGAACCACAACACUAGAGAAAGACACGGGGUGCGGUCUUCUUCGAUGAACAGCACAACAGCACAGAUAAGUUUUAAGAGUUAAGAUUCCCAAACCUUCCUCUCUAAUCCUUUUUUUCAAAGCGUUAAAAUCCUUUCUCUUUCCUUCCCUCUCCCUCAGCUUCUUUCUUUCUUUUGAAGCAGGUGGUGAGAGGGCACAUCCUUGCCUUGCUCCUGAUCUUAGUGGAAAGUUUCACGUUUCUCACCACGAAGUAGGCGCUUAGCUGUAGGUUUGGGGAGAUAUUCUUGGCCACGCUGAGGAAAUUCUCCUCUGUUAGGGUUUUUAGCUUCUUGUCUUUGUUUUUGUUUUUUUAAAGACUUUGUAAUUUACUUUUUAUUUUUUUUAAUGUUUAUUUAUUUUUGAGAGAGAGAAAGAGAGAGAGACAGAGUGUGAGCAGGGGAGGGGCAGAGAGAGAGGAAGACAGAAUCCAAAGCAGGCUUCAGGCUCUGAGCUGUCAGCACAGAGCCCGACGUGGGGCUCGAACUCACAUGGACCACGAAAUCAUGACCUGAGCCGAGGUCACACAUUUAACCGACUGAGCCACCCAGGCGCCCCUAAAGACUUUGUAUUUUAAAGCAGUUUUAUGUUCACAGCAAAACUGAAAGACAAGGUGUCUCAUCUACCUUCUGUCCCCACACAUACACAACCUCUCCCACUAGAAUGGGACUUUUGUGGCAGCUGAUGAACCUAUAUUGACACAUCACAAUCAGUAAAAGUCCGCAGUUGACAGGAGGGUUCACUUUCGGUGUUGGACAUUCUAUGUGUUUGGACAAACGUAUAAGGACACGCACCUGCCAGUAUAGCAUCACAGAAUACUUUCAUUGCCCUAAAAACCCUCUGUGCACUGCUUAUUCAUUGAUUCCUCCCUGCCGCCCUGGCAACCACUGAUGCUUUCACUAUUUCCAUAGCUUUGCCUUUUUCCAGAAUAGUUGGAAUCAUAUAGUAUGUAGACUUUUUAGAUUGGCUGUCUUCAUUCAGUAAUACGCAUUUGACAAGCAUCCACGUCUUUACGUGGCUUGAUAACUCAUUUUGUUUUAGCACUGAAUAAUAUUCCAACGUUUGGAUGUACCACUGUUUAUCCCCUCACUGCUUCCAAGUUUUGGCAAUUAUGAAUCAAGCUGCUGUAAACAUCCGGGUGCAGGUUUUUGUGUGGACAUGUUUUCCGCUCUUUGGGGUGAAUACCAGGGAGCAAGGUCACCGGAUCCCACGGUGAGGCAACAGGGCAGUGUUUCAAAGGACAUGGACACCAGGCUGGAGAGAAUUAGGUGUGAAACCACUUAUGCGCCUCCGGUUCUCAUCUGGAAAGUGCAGACAACUACCUUAUAGGGGAGAUGCCAGGAUGAAGCGAGCUGCUGGCAGUUCAUAAGGUCCUCCCACAAAUCUGACCGGUGCCCCCAGCAGCCCAGUGAGGUGAUUGGAGGCUGAGACACCAAGAGAUGAGGCCAGAGUCACACAGCCAAGGAGGAGCCUGCACUCCAGCUCAGAGCUUCUGACCCCCCGGUGCUGCUGGCUUCCCUCAAACAGCAUCAGAGGGCAGAUCUCCCAUGUACUGAUGCAUCUUGUGGCAGCCAAGAGACACAGAACAGACCACCUGCAUGGCUCUCCAUGGAGGGCAAAGUUGGGGAAUUGUGCAGACCAGCCUCCAGUUCCAGGCUUGGCAGUGAAUCUGAGGAAUACUCACCAACUCGUAUUUAAAAAAAAAAAAAAAAAAAAAAAAGCUCUGUUUCCUUCCUGAAUCAAAGGAAAUGCUAUAUCCCUUGGCAGUGCAGUCCGAAUAACUUCAGCGACUCCCACAGUGAUUCAGACACCGCCCCCUACAACAGGCUGUUGUCUUUCCUCCCCUCCCGGUGCCAAGUCCCAGGGUUUGCCCAGCCCGGCUCGGGAGUCCCCAGGCCCAGCUGCUCGGCCCCAGCGAGCCAGACCGGGAGGUGGAUCGGGGCAACCAGCCUGGGGCAAUCUGAAAAAGUCAUCUUCCAGGAAAUUCCAGACACAAGGCGCCCUGUCACCACAGUGAGGGGGACACUCACCAGAAGGGACUGCGUCAAUCCCCUCCUGCAGUCUGAGCACUGUCGGCAUGCAGCUCGGCACAGAAGGUUUUGUCAUUUGGACUGUAAUAAACCCCACUUCCUGAACUCUGUGCCCCUCCGGGUUCUACAUCAACCACACCGUCCGUCCCUGCAUGUACCCCUGCCCUGUCGGGGCCCAGUGCACCUGCAGCCGCCAUCGGAGGCCUCAGGUGCUGCUCACGUGUGCUAAUGAAAAGUGCUCUCCGGCCACCUUGGAGGACAGGGGCAAUGUGCUCCAGCUAAGGCAGCGGGGCUCAACCUUGACUGCACCCGAGAAUCCCCUGGGAGCUUUCACAAUCCUGAUGACCAGGCUGCAGACCAGACCAAUUAAACUACAGUCUCUGGGGGGUAGGAGCCAGGUAUCAGGACUUUUUUUUUUUAAGUUGGCCAAAGGAUUUCCAGUGCGCAGUCAAGUGUAAGAAGACCUGGGACUGCAGAGGGCGUCCUUUCUUUUCUCCUUUCCCCCUCCCUUCCUUCCUUCUUCUUUCCUUCCUAUCACCCUCUCUCCCUCCUUCCUUCACACUGUUUACUGAAGCAUCUUAUUCUAUGGUCAAAGCCAGGGUUUACAGACAGACCAUCCUCACUUUGAAUUCCAGCUUGGCUGCCACUGUGUGUGCAAAUCCUUUCACUUCUUCGAAGUUUGGCUUUCUCAUUCUCAUAAAGCAGGGAACAUUAAAGGACUUACCCCCAGAGAAUCCUUGUGAGGAUUAAAUAUCACAGAUGAAGUGUUUACCAUAGUACCUAGAAAUUAGUAUGUGCUCAAUAAAUGUGCAUGGAUUUUUCUUCUAGCUAUUAUUGUAGUUUUCCGAGAGCUAUGCUAGAUGUGGGGACGACAAAAGAAAGAACACAGGCUUAAUGUUUGUUCGCACACAACUGACUCUCUUCCCAUUCAGUCCUUAGCUGGAGAGUAGCCUUGCACUGCUGGCCAGGACAGGGUGGACGGAGAUUUCUCUUAAUUAGUACCUAUCAUUUACUGAACACACCCAAUGUUCAAUCAUAUCACAACCAUACAGGGCACAGUCCUGAACGUGUACUGAACGUGAUGUCAUCAGUGGCUCUGUGCCAACCCGGAGCAGAAAAUGCUAUUGAUAUUUACAUCUUGCAGGUGGAGAAUCAGAGGCUCAGAGAAAUUCACCAUUUCACCCGUGGUCACAUGGGUAGAAACAAACCCAAGCUUUCAAGCACCACGUGGCUCUUCUUCCUACGUGGAUCUGGGGUAUGCCUGCAAGGGAAUUAUGAGGGCUGGCUAGAAUGAGGAGGAUAAAGCAGGUCCUCUAAGCUGGAGCACAUUAGGGGAAGGACACAACCAAACUGGGGUGACGCCACGGUAUUGAGGGGCCAGGCACAAAGGAGAAUAAGUAUGGUAAAUGGAGGUGAAGAGGGAGGGGUCUGGAUGGGUCCAGGAGUAGGGGAACAGUGAUGAGUGGGCAGCGAGUCAAUGUAAAGUGUCCAGGGCAGAAUGGGAUGUUCUCAAUUCAUAGAAAUCUUGGCCAAGUCCGGGCGGCUCAGUAGGUUAAGCAUCCGACUUCAGCUCAUGUCAUGAUCUCCAGGCUCAUGUCCGUGAGUUCGAGCCCCACGGAGGGCUCUGUGCUGACAGCUCAGAGCCUGGAGCCUGCUUCGGAUUCUGUGCCUCCCUCUCUGCUCCUCCCCUACUCACUCUCUGUCUCUGUCUCUCAAAAAUAAAUAAACGUUAAAAAAAAAAUUUAAAAAAAAAAAAAAAGAAAUGGUGGCUAAGUCCAAUGAUCCCACUGUAUGUCCAGCUGUAUCACCAGUGUAGUUUGCUGAAAAUUAAAUGGCAAAACACAAGUGGUGAGUACACAUCUUCAAACAUGCUUUAAAUGGUUUGUGUCUGUCAAAAAGGACUUACUUUUACAACAAGGCUCUAUUAUCCACAGUCUGAGUAGCAAUAAAUUUUGAGAGUGGAGGGAGACAUCCUUAGGGAGCAUUGCUGGGGCUCCAACAAAGACGGGCUCAGUUAGAAAUGCUGGAUGACCUAGCUGGGAACACGCAGACUCUGGGUUUAAUUUAAAUUCUGGUUUAAAUCAGGGCUCUGCCCCUUAUGACCGUGUAAUCUCUCUGGGCCUCAGUUUCCUCAUCUGUAAAAUGUUGCUGACCGUGCAGCUGUCUCCGUGCAUUGUGGUGAAAAUGAAAUACGGCCAAGCCUGUCCAACGCUUAGAAUGGCCCUCCAUACACCCUAAGCACUCAAACGGGGUGGGGGGGUGGUGGUGUAGGGGUUAUGGAUUAGUUAUCCAGGUUGUCAGACCGGCCACCCCAUGCUCAGGAAUCGCUCCCCCUCAGCCCAGGCCCCGUUGCUCUUAGAUCCCCUUCCAUAGACAAGUUCACUUUGCUCCUCUUCCAGAGCUAGCUGCAUGUUAUUUAUUUUGCACGGUAUUUGUUUUCCAAUAUUUUUACUAAGUAGGACAGCUAUAUCAAUGAGGUCUGCUGCUUUAUUGGUUGCUAAUUGCUGGGGCAUAAUUGUUGCAUCGUUACUUGGUGUUCCUAUAAUUCUCUGCAGCCAAUCAAGGUGGCCAACUCUAAUUACAACACAGUGAAUUCUCAGGCACCAGCAUCCAAAUGCUUAAAGGGUUCAGUUUACAAGAACUCUUUCCAGCACUUUUACAAGAAAGGGCUUAACUGACAAAAGGCAAGGAAGUCACGCCAGAAAAUAAUUUUUGAAAGUAAUUUUGUAAGUAUACAUGCACCUAUAAAAUAAUAAGCAUUUUAUAAUUACAGCGGCAUAUAUAUUUCUUGAAAGCAGUUUCUAAGGUCUGUCUCAAGAUCUUUGCACAUUCAACUUGAUCUCUAAUUAGACAACAAGAGCUGGUGUUUAUAAUGAUCAUAAUUCCAAGACCCAGACAGAUCUCAAUGGGCCUUUGCACACAUCAGAUACUAGCUAUACUCAGUCUAGUUCUACACUAGCACUGCAGGCGUUUUAUUAUUUUCAGAUGUUUUCUGGAACUCAUAACCCACCUAUGUCCUCUCCACAAGUCAAGGGAUCCAAAUAUUCAAUCCAGGGAUGCCUGGGUGGCUCAGUCAAUUAAGUGCCCGACUUCAGCUCAGGUCAUGAUCUCAUG